ensembl:lncRNA
AUGAGUACAGGCAUGGCACCCGGUAAAGACGGGAUCCCAACCGAGGUGUACAAGGCCUUAAAGGGAAAGGCACUUCAGGCAUUCCAUAUAGUGCUGACCAGCAUAUGGGAAGAGGAAGACAUGCCCCCAGAACUCAGAGAUACCUCCAUCGUAGCCCUAUACAAGAACAAAGGCUCACGGGCAGCCUGUGACAACUACAGAGGCAUCUCACUACUCUCCACUGCUGGAAAGAUCCUCGCCCGAGUUAUACUCAACAGACUCCUGUCAUCUGACUCAGAGCAGAACCUGCCUGAAUCACAAUGUGGUUUCCGACCAGAUCGCAGCACCAUCGACAUGGUCUUCACGGUGAGACAAAUGCAGGAAAAAUGCCUUGAGCAGAACCUGAGUCUCUACAUUGUCUUCAUAGACCUAACUAAGGCAUUUGACACAGUAAACAGGGACGCAUUGUGGGUGAUCCUUAGCAAGCUCGGUUGCCCAGCAAAAUUCAUCAAACUGAUCCAGUUCUUUCAUGUUGCUAUGACAGGGAAAGUCCUAUCUGGUGGGAGAGACUUCCGAUCACUUCAACAUCUCCAAUGGCGUGAAACAAGGCUGUGUCCUUGCUCCGGUACUAUUCAACCUAUACUUCACCCAAGUAUUAUGACAUGCUGUGAUGGAUCUAAACCUGGGCGUCUACAUCAAAUACCGACUGGAUGGCUCACAUUUGACCUUUGCCGCCUGACUGCAAAAACAAAGACAACAGAGAGACUCAUCCUGGAAGCUCUCUUCACAUAUGACUGUGCUCUCAUGGCCCACCAAGAAAAUCAUCUCCAAACCAUUGUGGACAGGUUCUCUACCACAACAAAACUGUUUGGCCUGACUAUCAGCCUCAACAAAACAGAGGUGCUGUUCCAACCUGCACCAGGGAGGCCAACGAACCAACCGUGCAUAACUAUCGACGGCACACAGCUUUCUAACGUCAACACUUUCAAGUACCUGGGCAGCACCAUCACCAACGACGGGUCCCUAGACCACAAGAUUAAUGCUAGGAUCCAAAAGGCCAGCCAGGCACUUGGACGGCUGCGCUGCAAAGUCCUCCAACACAGCGGUGUAAGCACUGCGACGAAGCUCAAAGUGUAUAACGCAGUGGCCCUCAGCUCGCUCCUGUACAGUUGCGAGACAUGGACACUGUACCGGAAGCACAUGAAACAGCUGGAGCAAUUCCACCAAUGCUCUCUCCGGUCAAUCAUGAGGAUCCGAUGGCAGGUCCGAAUCACCAACCAGGAAGUCCUUGACAGAGUCAACUCCACCAGCAUCGAAGUCAUGGUCCACAAAACCCAGCUACGAUGGUCUGGACACAUCAUCCGCAUGGACCUACAGCGAAUACCAAGACAGGUAUUCUAUGGUGAACUGUCAGCUGGACUCAGGAAACAAGGCCGACCAAAGAAAAGAUUCAAGGAUCAGCGAAAGUCCAACUUGAAGUGGGCUGGCAUUACCCCAAAGCAACUAGAACUCGCUGCCUCUGACAGAAGCAGCUGGCGAACCCACAUUCACCAUGCCGCCACCUCCUUUGAAGAUGAGCAACGUCAAUGUCUUGCCGCAGCGUGUGAACGCUGA